rnacentral:sRNA from 1 species
UGAGAAGCUUCGACUAAGGUUCGAUUCGAGCGAAAGCGAGAAAGCGUUGCCGCAGGCAACGACCCGAAGGGCGAAGCGCGCAGCGCUGAGUCAUCCUUCCCCCACCACCA